AGAUUGUUGAUGGUGGUUUUUAACGGUUUGAUAAACAGCGAAUUGUUAUUGAGAUCGACAUUGCCGCGGGCGUGGACCUGCUCUCCAUCCAGUGGAAUAUCCAGAUUCAGAUGACCACCGACACGGCCUUUAAUUUCCAGUUGCUCCAGCGCGGCACCCAGUGACGGCUUAAGCGGCGUCUGAUCGAAAUAGUCAGCGAUCUGCUGGCCUUCACCACUGAUAUCCCCGUCGAUGAUCAGUUUUUCUUUCAGGUAGUCAGGGAUCACCGCCGUGACGUUGCGAGCAUCUACUUCGCCCAGUCUGGCCACUGGCGCUUUCAUCCACAGACCGUCGUUCAGGAAAUUGAGGUCGACAUCGAGAUUGCUCAGCGCCGGCCAUUUGGGCUGAAAUGCAUAGGUCGCCUGGCGAAGCGGCACC
rnacentral:ncRNA from 1 species